UGGGCGUACGAUGAAAGUAUUUAACUAAAAAUUGAAUACCUCUAGACGUUUUUCUCUUUGACGAUCAAAUUUAUUGCUUGCAGGGAAUUGCCUACAGCACAUUAAUCCUUGAUCCAUGCAAUAAAACACCAAUCUCAUAAAACCAUACUCAAUUUUGUUGAUUUUAAACAAUAUUUGGUGUCGAAUUGCCCAUUGAUACGUAUGCAAUUUUAGACUUUUACUUAUUUAACCUAGAUUUGCUCUUGGAUUGGGUGUGAAUUAAUAUAACAUUAGCAACUCACAUUGAUGAAACCCAAUAAAUCCUAAUGCCAAAGAAAAAUGUUUCUUGGAUUAAUUCAAGAGAACAAUUGUACAUUCACAUCCCUUACAUGGUUCUUCUCUAAUUUUUAUUAUUUAGCCUUGAUUAAUCUUUUUUUAGGUGCAAUGGAACUCUCAUGCAUAUAGCAAGAGCACGUACGGGUUGUACGAUAAAUUAAUUAAUAUCUUGUCAAUCCAUCUUUUUGGUAAAUGUUUUUAUUAAUCGGAUUACGCUGGUUCAAUUUACACUUUCAAAACUUUAUCCAAGGUUUAUUAUUUAAGCUUGAAGGCUUAUUACUUCAGUUUGAAUAGGUUUGUG
rnacentral:lncRNA from 1 species